rnacentral:rRNA from 2 species
AGUCGAGCGACAGAUGGGAGCUUGGUCCCUGAUGUUAGCGGCGGACGGGUGAGUAACACGUGGGUAACCUGCCUGUAGACUGGGAUAACUCCGGGAAACCGGGGCUAAUACCGGAUGGUUGUUUGAACCGCAUGGUUCAGACAUAAAAGGUGGCUUCGGCUACCACUUACAGAUGGACCCGCGGCGCAUUGCUAGUUGGUGAGGUAACGGSUCACCAAGGCGACGAUGCGUAGCCGACCUGAGAGGGUGAUCGGCCACACUGGGACUGAGACACGGCCCAGACUCCUACGGGAGGCAGCAGUAGGGAAUCUUCCGCAAUGGACGAAAGUCUGACGGAGCAACGCCGCGUGAGUGAUGAAGGUUUUCGGAUCGUAAAGCUCUGUUGUUAGGGAAGAACAAGUGCCGUUCAAAUAGGGCGGCACCUUGACGGUACCUAACCAGAAAGCCACGGCUAACUACGUGCCAGCAGCCGCGGUAAUACGUAGGUGGCAAGCGUUGUCCGGAAUUAUUGGGCGUAAAGGGCUCGCAGGCGGUUUCUUAAGUCUGAUGUGAAAGCCCCCGGCUCAACCGGGGAGGGUCAUUGGAAACUGGGGAACUUGAGUGCAGAAGAGGAGAGUGGAAUUCCACGUGUAGCGGUGAAAUGCGUAGAGAUGUGGAGGAACACCAGUGGCGAAGGCGA